rnacentral:rRNA from 1 species
AAGGAGGAGCUUGCUUCUCUGGAUGAGUUGCGAACGGGUGAGUAACGCGUAGGUAACCUGCCUGGUAGCGGGGGAUAACUAUUGGAAACGAUAGCUAAUACCGCAUAAGAGUAGAUGUUGCAUGACAUUUGCUUAAAAGGUGCAAUUGCAUCACUACCAGAUGGACCUGCGUUGUAUUAGCUAGUUGGUGAGGUAACGGCUCACCAAGGCAACGAUACAUAGCCGACCUGAGAGGGUGAUCGGCCACACUGGGACUGAGACACGGCCCAGACUCCUACGGGAGGCAGCAGUAGGGAAUCUUCGGCAAUGGACGGAAGUCUGACCGAGCAACGCCGCGUGAGUGAAGAAGGUUUUCGGAUCGUAAAGCUCUGUUGUAAGAGAAGAACGAGUGUGAGAGUGGAAAGUUCACACUGUGACGGUAUCUUACCAGAAAGGGACGGCUAACUACGUGCCAGCAGCCGCGGUAAUACGUAGGUCCCGAGCGUUGUCCGGAUUUAUUGGGCGUAAAGCGAGCGCAGGCGGUUAGAUAAGUCUGAAGUUAAAGGCUGUGGCUUAACCAUAGUACGCUUUGGAAACUGUUUAACUUGAGUGCAAGAGGGGAGAGUGGAAUUCCAUGUGUAGCGGUGAAAUGCGUAGAUAUAUGGAGGAACACCGGUGGCGAAGGCGGCUCUCUGGCUUGUAACUGACGCUGAGGC